GACGAACGCUGGCGGCGUGCCUAAUACAUGCAAGUCGAGCGAGACUCUUCGGAGUCUAGCGGCGGACGGGUGAGUAACACGUGGGCAACUUGCCUGUAAGACUGGGAUAACACCGGGAAACCGGUGCUAAUACCGGAUAAUCCUUUUCUUCUCAUGAGGAAAAGCUGAAAGUCGGUUUCGGCUGACACUUACAGAUGGGCCCGCGGCGCAUUAGCUAGUUGGUGAGGUAACGGCUCACCAAGGCGACGAUGCGUAGCCGACCUGAGAGGGUGAUCGGCCACACUGGGACUGAGACACGGCCCAGACUCCUACGGGAGGCAGCAGUAGGGAAUCUUCCACAAUGGACGAAAGUCUGAUGGAGCAACGCCGCGUGAGCGAUGAAGGCCUUCGGGUCGUAAAGCUCUGUUGUUAGGGAAGAACAAGUACCGGAGUAACUGCCGGUACCUUGACGGUACCUAACCAGAAAGCCACGGCUAACUACGUG
rnacentral:rRNA from 1 species